CCUCUUGAUGGUGCUAGCAUAGGUUUGAUGCCAGUUAGUCAUGAAGAGCCUGGGGAUUUCACCUUGUCUUUCCAUAGAUCUAAUGAUUACUCUGCUCAUUCCUUCUCUAGUACCGACUCAAUCCUCAGCUGUGGUCGUUGAAUCAUGGCUUAACGAGGUAAAAAUUCUUUAAUCUAAAGACUAACAGCUGGCAUGUGGAAGGUAGAUUGGAAUACUUAGAGGGUUACCUUGUUUGUGCAUACCAUAGUAAUCCUCAAAGCACAACAAAGACUGCUCCAUGAGGGGUUAAUUAAUUAGCAUACAAACAUAGGUAUAAUUUAUGAUUUAAGCAAAACACAUGGUUGAAAUAGUACAAUGUUUGAUGUACAAUGCUGGUCAAUGAUGGCCGUGUAGCUUCUUCCAUUCUCCUCAGUGCUCUAACCCCACCCCACAAUUCAACUCAACUAUGCCUCAUUCCCAAACUAGUUAGAAUCAGUUUCACAGAUCUUCCUUCUCCAUUCAUUUAGUCCUUGUUCCUUUUUUGAUAAAACUCUCCACUUACUUCUGUUAUGGACUCAAAUGAUUAAUCACCUAUGCCUACCUCGUUUUUACAUGGAAGGUUAAUUACAUAUUGAAAUAUUCUGACUUCUGAUAUAGUGAUCUGCAGAAGCAUAGGCUUCAGUCAACUUUCUAAAAUACAGAAAAUCCAACACCCAGUAUCAUCGAUUAUCCUAACUAGAGUGCAGUUCAGUGUGAUAUAGCUGCUGGCUGGGUGGUUUAUUCACAGACUAGUAGUGGAAUAAAAAAAAUGGUGAUAAGGUAUCUUGAUGCUGAUGUUAUACACACAUAUAACUGUUUUAAUCUUUCUACAAACAGUCAAGAUUGCAAAAACCACGUUCAAGGAAGAAAGAAGAUAUAGACAGCAGCUUUGUAGGUUGAAAAGGGAUUAAAACACCAGCCAAGAAAAAGUAAAAGAAACAUUGCAACAAAAUUUGCAAUAAGAAGGCAGCAAUAUUAAUAACCCUGCUUUCAGAAAGAGUGUACAUAGUCAAUUACCUAAUGAAAAGGCUAGAGAUGUCUGAUCAAUAAGUUUCCAUCAUUUCUCCUGGUUAUUGGGUCACAGCUUGUUGCAGAUGAGGCAGCGCAACCUCUUGGGACAGAGUACGUUCACUUGCUGUGCAGCCUUUCCUGCAUCCAACUACCCUUAGUGAUUAAACAGACUCUAAUUUAUCAAGCAUGGAGAUUAGUUGUAAUGAUCAACUUUAAUUCUAAUUUGGGUCCCUCAAAGAACUUACACAGAGCAAGGUAAACAUGAAGUGACUUGAUUCCAUCUUAGGAAAAACAAGCUCAUACUGGAAAAGAUUUAACAGACAUUAGCCUCCCCGAAAAAUACCACAAAAAAAAAAAAAAACAAAAACAAAAGGAAGUUGAUACAGAUGCAGGAUAGCCAUCAACGUGAAAAUUACCGGUACUGAUGUGUUCAUAUGAACUUAUGGUGCCCGUGUGAGCUUGGAAGAGAGAACCAACCACUCCCUUUCCUCCUGGUAAUAUCUUGCUGGUCACAGAGGUGUCAAAGGCAAGGACUGCAGCCAUGGAUCAACUGUUGUAGUGGCUGUGACUGACCAAAUCAGCUCACUAAGAUAAUCCGCCUAUAGGAAAAGAAAUGAAUCAGGGAAGGAUGAUCUGUGAGUGGUGUGGUUUUUAUUAUGAAAUAAAAGUUUGUUUUUGUAUUUUAAAAUGUUUUUUAAAAAUUUUAAUUUUGUUUUAAAUAAGUUUUUUUUAUGUUUUUAAAUAUGUUAAAAGUAAUUUUUAAAAAAAAUAUAUAUUAUUUUAAUAUAUUUUUAAACAAUAAAUACUUUAAAAAAUAACAUUAUUACACUAACAAAACAAAAUGAAAAAGCUUAAGAAAUAGCUAAUUAUCACUAAAAAGUGAAAGGGAGACAUCUUAAUGGCAAAGUGAUGGCUGAUGUGCCAAUGACAGCCAUGAAUACCACUUAUUGGGACUAUACAUAGACAAACAUCUGAUUGAUGAUGAUAGGCAGAGCUCAUGAAUAGCUUGAACCACAACCUUUUGAACAGUUCCAAGAUAUUUGAAAGUAUCUUGUGAGGUUGCAGCAAACUGGAUAAGCCACCCGUUCCGUCUUUUCCCUUUUGCAAGUAUCACAUGCUUAAUUGCUUACACAAACUAUUUAAAACUACUAAAGAAUUUUAAUAAAAGAAACGCCAGCUGAUUGCCAGUUUUGGCGAAACGUUCAAAAGGCUUUGGACAAGGUUGAAGUCGGAGACAAAUUCAAAGCUACAGUAGCCCUUAAUGCUGAUGUUUACAAAUCAUCUUCCAAUAACCCAUCUUCGACUGUUGGGAACGAGCCUUUCUUGUCAAGUUUUAAUAGCACUUGCGACAAUGUUACGUUUACGUUUCCACCAUUUCAAGACGUUCAUAAGGCUUAGGACAAUGAUGGAGUCAGAGACAAAAUCAAAGCUACAGCAGCCCUUAAUGCUGAUGUUCAUGAAUCAUCUUCCAACAAACAACCUGAUGGCAAUUUCCGUAACAACAUAAAGGAUGUCACGAUUCACACUGUGAAGUUCGUCAAAUUAAAGCUCAUAAUGGGAGAAGUUGGCUGGCCUACAGAUGGUAACAGUGCUGGCGAUUUGAAGAUCAUAAUGGGAGAAGUUGGCUGCCUACAGAUGGUAACAUUAAUGCCGACCCCAAAUUAGCUAAAACGUUCCAUGACGGUCUCUUUAAAGAAGGGAACCCCUGUCCGACGAGGUUAAUUGGAUGUGUAUCUCUUUGGCCUAAUCGAAGAAUCAGAAGAGCAUUGCACCAGGACAUUUCGAGAGACAUUGGGGGCUCUUUCGCUUCGAUGAACAGCUAAAAUUUCCAUGGAUUUAUCUGGACAAGGUGAUGAAGAGAUGCUAAUAGCAUCAUAUGGAGUCCAAUACAUGCCAUCUCAAUGGUGUGUGCUUGAUGAGGAAAAUAAGAACUUGACCAUGAUAAAAUUGAAAUCAGCUAUGCCCUGCUCUUUGGUCGUGAAUGUUGAAUAUUUAGAUAGCAUUUGGAAAUGCAGUUUUUUAAUUUUUUUAAUUUAAAAUUAUUUUUUUAUAUUUUGGAUUAUUUUGAUGUUAUGAUAUUAAAAAUUAUUUUUUAAAAAAUUAAAAUUAUUAUUUUUAUAUAUUUUUAUAUAAAAAGUAAUUUAUAAAAUAACAUCUAUCAUCUUCAAAUAUCUUCUUGCUAGAGCUCCGCCUUGGCAUGCAUGCCCACUAGGGGUGUUCACGGUUCGGUUCGGAUCGGUUUUUAUCAAAAAAAGUAACCAAACCGAAAUUUUUUUUUAAAAAAAAAAACCGAAACCGGUUCAAACCGACCGGUUUCGGUUCGGUUCGGUUCGGUUUUUUAGAGAAAAAACCGGUUCAAACCGGUUUGGCUCGGUUUUUCCGGUUUGGCUCGGUUUUUUCGGUUUGGCUCGGUUUGGCUCGGUUUUUUUCGGGUUCGGUUCGGUUCGGUUUUUCCGGUUCCAGGCUUAAAAAACCGAAACCGAACCGAACCGGUCGGUUUUUUCAAAAUUUUAAUCGGUUUAAUCGGUUUUUUUUUUCGGUUCGGUUUUUUUGGUUAUUUUUUUUCCGGUUUUCUCGGUUUAAUCGGUUUUUCGGUUUUUUUGAACACCCCUAAUGCCCACUACCCAUCUUUAUUAAUUGUGUCUAUGGUUUUGGUUAUCUUGUUUUUCUAUUUUUUUUUCUUGUAAAUGACAAGUUUCAUUAUGUAUUUUGUUUUUCAUUUAUAUAUGUUUUUAUAUUUUUCUCCAAAAUUUUAAAAUUAAAUAUUUAUUAUCAUAAAAUUUUAUUCUUGUCAAUUGUCAUAAUUCUUUGAAAAUUUUUGAAGCAUGUCAUUAUGCUUAAAGAUAUUUAAGUUUUUUAUUUAUAAAAAUAAAAUUACAUAUCUGAAAAUUUAUAUUUUUUUUAUUUUUACAAUCAUAAUUUCAUUUGAAUAAUUUAUAAUAAUGGUCGUAUAAAAAAAGAAUAGAUUAUAAUUAUAAAUUGUUUUAUAAAUGAGAAAAAACAUACAUUCAAAAAAGAUAUUAUGAAAUAUUUUUUGAAAGAAAAAACAAUUAAAGGUAAUUUUUUAAAUAUAUAAAGCACAAUUAAAUUUGAACUUUCUUGGAAGAUAAGCUAUAAAAAUAAAUUUAUUGAUCUUAAGAAUUAGCACAAGAAGAUUUAUUGACAAUUUAUCUUUAAAAAUUAAAUUUAUAGAUACUUCUUUCAACUUCCUCUUUCUCUUUCUAUUUUAAAGUUGUGUGGCACAAAAAUUACACGUUGAAGGAAAGAACGUGUGUAUAUCCUCUUUUUAAGUGUGUGUUUAGUAGUGCAUUAUAUGUUAUUUUUUAAAAGUAUUUUUAAUUUAAAAUAUAUUAAAAUAAUGUAUUUUUAUAUUAAUACAUUAAAAUUAUAAAAUAAAUUUAAAACAAAUAUUAAAUUAAUAUUUUUUUCAUAUAAAAAAUUGGCUUAACAAACAUUAUAAAAAAUAAAUCGAACCACAAAAACAAUAGCAGCCUUAAAUGCAACCAAACAUGCUUAAAGCAAGCAUUAGGUUUUAAUAAUAAUAAUAAUAAUAAGAAGCGAGCAAGGGUUGCAUACCCGAGCGAUGAUUGCAGACCCAGUUUCCAAACCCUCACCCCUAAGCUGCAGACCCACUUGCCAAGGUUUGCAGAACCCCGCGCUUGGGGUGUGCAGAACUAGGAGCGGGGUGUAGACCCACCCGUCUGGGUUUCUUCUAUUGCGCCUGAGGUCUGCAGACCCCCCAGGAGUUGUAGAACCCGUAGAGAAAAUUAACAAAUUUGAAAAAAAAAUGAAAACAAAUAUAAUAACUAAUAACAAUUAUUAUUGUUAUUGUUAUUGUUAUUAUUAUUAUUAUCGUAAAUAAAUUUUAUAAAAAUAUUAUUACUAUAAAAACUUGGACUAGACAAGUUUAAUAUUAUUAUUAUUAUACUAAAUAUUAUUGUUAUUUAUUGUUGUCAUUAGUAAAUUGAAAACAAAAUUAUUAUUUAUUGUUAUCAUUUCAGGUGGGGUUGAAUUUCCUUAUUAAAACAUGUUUUGUUUUGGUUUUUAAAAAUGCUUUGAAACAAAUUUGACAAUUUUUUAUUUUUUUCAUUACUUCAAAUUAAUAUUUUUUCUUUUAAUUCAUAUUAAGAUGUUUUUGUAUUAUUUUGAUGUGAUUAUAUAAAAAAUAGAUUUAAAACAAUAAAAAAUAUUAUCUCAAUAUAUUUCAAAAAAAAUAUUUUAAGAUAUUUUCAAUUUUAUUUUUUUCCCUCUUCAAAUAUUUUUUUCUCUUAUUGAUUUUUUUCAUACUGUAAAGAGAAAAUAAAUUAAUGUGACUUUUUUUUAUAUUAUACAAAAGUUGGGUGAUGAUAAUUUUUUUUCAUUUCAAGUUGGGUUGAAUUUUCUUAUUAAAGUAUGUUUGGUUUUGCGAUUCAAAAAUGGUUUGAAAAAAAUUUAAAUUUUUUUUAUUGUUUUCUUUACUUCAAAUUAAUAUUUUUUAUGUUUUUAUAUUUUGUUUUUAAAUAUAUUGAGAUUGAGUCUGGUUGCAUAGCCACACCAAAAAGAAUAUAUUAAGUUGGGUCCUAUCCAGCAGGACCCAAAAUAGCUUUGGGUCCAGCCGCCGCUGGACCCAUCAGCCUUGGGUCUUGUCCCUAACAGGAUCCAUCAGCGUUAAGUCCUGCUCCUAGCAGGACCCAUCACUAUUUUUUUUUUUUUCUUUUCUAUUGGGUCAGGCAUUUUCUUCCAGAACCAAGAAACUUGGGUAAGAAACGACGCCUCACCCAAGGAGCUUGGGUGUGGCUAGGCACAGACCCAAAUCCAAAUCCCUUUGGUCUUAAAGACCCGCCUGGCCCAAGAUUAUUGGUCCUUCGUCAGGACCUAAGGCUAAUGGGUUAUGCGUCAGGAAUCAAGGCUAAUAGGUCGUGAGUCAAAACCCAAUGUUCUUGGGUCCUGUGUCAGGACCCAAUUUCCUUAGGUUAUGUCAGGACCCAAAACUAAUGGAUGUGACAUCAAGACCCAAGAUUCUUGGAUCUUAGAUUUCUAAAUAUAAUUAUUUAUGAUAUAAAUAUAAUUAUUUUUAUUAUAAUUAAAAGUACUAAUAUUAAAAAUAGUAUUAUUUGUGAUAUAAAUAUUACUAUUUUUAAAAUAAUUAAUAAAUUUGAAAAACAUUAUUAUCAGUAUUGAAAAACAACUAUAGAUUUCAUUUGAAGUGUAAAAUAAUUAAUAAUAAUAAUAAUAAUUAAAUUUUAAAAAAAUAUUAUUAUUAUCGAAGAAAAAACAUAUUUUUUUUAAGAUUAAAAAAAUAAAAAAUUUGGCUGACAAGUUAAAUAUUAAUAUUAAUAUUAUAAAUAUUAUUGUUGGAUUUAGCGUUGCAGCCAGACGCAACGCUCAUGGGUUCGUCGUUGCAGCCAAACUCAACACUUUUAGAUCUUAGAUUUUUAUUAUAUCUUUUUAUUAAAAUAAAAGGUGAGCCCGGGCCGUAGUGCGGGCAAAUAAGAAAAAUGAAAAAAAUAUCAAUUAUUAUUAUUAUUAUUAUCGUUAAUAAACUUUUUUAAAAACAUUUUUACUAUAAAAAAUUUGGCCAGACAAGUUCAAUACUAUUAUUAAUAUGAUAAAUAUAAUUAUUUGUAUUCUAAAUAUUAUUAUUUUUAUUAUAAUUAAAAGUAUUAGUGUUAGAAAUAUUAUUAUUUGUGAUAUAAAUAUUAUGAUUUUUUUUAUAAUUAAUAUUAUUAAUAUUAAAAAUACUAUUUUUUAUUAUAAAUAUUAUAAUUUUUAUUAUAAUUAAUAUUAUUCUUAUAAUAAUUAAUAAAUUUGUAGAAAAUAUUAUUAAUAUUGAAAAAAAUAGAUUUAAUUUGAAGGGUAAAAUUAAGAAUUAUUAUUACUAUUAUUGUUGUUGUUAUUGUCAUUACUAGAUUUUAAAACAAAAUUACUAUUGUCAUAGAAGAAAAGCAUAAUUAUUUUUUAAAAGAUUGAAAAAUAUGAGAAUUUGGGCAGAGAAGUUAAAUAUUAUUAUUAAUAUUAUAAAUAUUAUUAAAUUCAUUAAUAUUAUUACAAUAAAAAUAAAUAUUAUUGCUAUUAAAGAAAACAUAGAUUUGAUUUGAAGGGUAAAAUCAAUUAUUAUUAUUGUUAUUGUUAUUGUUAUUAUUGUUAUUAUUAUUAUUAUUAUUAUUAUUAUUACUAUUAUUUUCUUCACUUCAAAUUAAUAUUUUUUCUUAAUUCAUAUUAAGAUGUGUUUGUAUUAUUUUGAUGUGAUUAUAUAAAAAAUAUAUUUAAAAAAAUUAAAAAAAUAUUAUCUCAAUAUAUUUUUUAAAAAUAUUUUAAGAUAUUUCCAAUUUUAUUUUUUACUCUCUUGAAAAAACAUUUCUUUUUUCUUAUUGAUUUUUUUUUCAAACUGUAAAAAAAAAUUAAAUUAAUGUGACUUUUUUUAUAUUAUACAAAAGUUGGGUGAUGAUAAUUAUUUUUUCAUUUCAGGUGGGGUUGAAUUUUCUUAUUAAAGCAUGUUUGAUUUUGGUUUUCAAAAAUGCUUUGAAAAACAUUUGACAAUUUUUAUUUUUUGUCUUUACUUCAUAUUAUUAUUUUUUCCUUUAAUUGAUAUUAAGAUAUUUUUGUAUUAUUUUGAUGUGAUUAUAUAUAAAAUAGAUUUAAAAAAUAAAAAAAAUUAUCACAAUAUAUUUUUUUAAAAAUAAAAAAUAUUUUAAGAUAUUUCCAAUUUUAUUUUUUUCCCUCUUGAAAUUUGUUUCUUUUCUCUUAUUGAUUUUUUUUUAUACUGUAAAGAGAAAAUAAAUUAAUAUGACCUUUUUUUAUAUUAUACAAAAGUUGGGUGAUGAUAAUUUUUUUUUUCAUUUCAAGUUGAGUUGAAUUUCAUUAUUAAAGCAUGUUUUGUUUUGCGUUUUAAAAAUGCUUUGAAAAAAAUCUGAAAUUUUUUUAUUGUUUUCUUUAUUUUAAAUUAAUGUUUUUUAUGUUUUUAUAUAUAUUUUUAUUUUGUUUUUAAGUAUAUUGAGAUUAGGUCUGGUUGCGCAGUUACAUCCAAUGAGAAUAUAUUAAGUUGGGUCUUGUCCCGAGAAGGACCCAAAAUAGCUUUGGGUCCAGCUGCCGCUAGACCCAUCAGCAUGGGUCCUACCUCUACAAGGACCCAUCAAUAAUUGUUUUUCAUUUUUUUUUUCUUUUCUCUUGGUUUGGGCAGUCUCUUCCAGACCCAAAAAACUUGGGACAGGAAAAGGAGGGCACACCCAAGGGAGCUUGGGUGUGGUUAUGGAGUAGACCCAAAUCCCUUAGGUCUACAACUCCGUUUGACCCAAUAUUAUUGGUCCUUCUUCAGGAUCCAAUUUUUUGGGUCCUGAGUUAGGACCCAAGGCUAAUGUGUCCUGCGUCGGGAUCCAAUGCUCUUGGGUACUGAGUCAGGAUCGAAUUCUCUUGGGCUGUGUUAGGACCCAAAGUUCUUGUGUCCAUCAUCAGAACCCAAGGCUAAUAAGUUCUGCAUUAUGACUCAUGGUUCUUGUGUGUUAGGUUUCUAAAUAUAAUUUUUUGUAUUAUAAAUAUUAUUAUUUUUAUUAUAAUUAAAAGUAUUAAUAUUAAAAAUAGUAUUAUUUGUGUUAUAAAUAUUAUUAUUAUUAUUAAAAUAAUUAAUAAAUUUAAAAAAAAUUAUUAUUUGAUUUGAAGUGUAAAAUUAAUAUUAUUAUUAUUAUUAUUAUUAUUAUUAUUAUUAUUAUUAUUAUUAUUAAAUUUUAAAAAAUUAUUAUUACUAUGAAAGAAAAACCAUAAUGUUUUUUUUUGAAAGAUUAAAAAAAUAAAAUUUUUGACAAACAAGUUAAAUAUUAUUAUUAAUAUUAUAAAUAUUAUUGUUGGGUUUUGCAUUACAGUCAGACUCAACGCUCUUAGAUCCGAUAUUACAGCCACACCCAACGUUUUUAGAUCUUAGAUUUUUAUGAUAUUUUUUUUAUUAAAAUAAUAGGUGAGCCCGCAGCAUUACUCUUACGUAAAAAUUAAUGAGUUAAAAUUGAAAAUGGGUUUGGAUUUCCUUAAUUUUACCCUGGAUUGGAUUAUGUGAAAAAAAAUUAAAAAGUUACCCUAAAUUUUAUAAGUUUAUAAUACUUUAAAUUAAUAAAAAAAAUUAAAGUAUUAUAAGUUUGUCAUUAUAUUAUAUGUUUCACGUCAUUUGGGUUGCCAUUGUCAAAACCAUAGUUAUUAAACCCGGCCCGGGGUUGACCCGGCCAAGAGGCCGGGUCCCGGGUUUCAUAGGUCAACCCGGAAAAAUUAAAAAAAAAAUUAAAGUUUUAAUAUUUCAUAUGAAAAAAUCCAUGUAAAUAUAAAUUAUACAUAUUGUAAACAAUGAAGUUUAAAAGAAUAUUUUAAAAAGGUUUUUAUCCCACAUAAAAAAAAUAUUAUGUUAAGUUUUUAAGUUGAAGUAUUUAAACUAAAAACGUUUUUUAUCCCACAUUGAAAAAACAUGAUUUUUUACUUGGGAACAUAAAGUAUAUAUAACAAUGGGUUUCAAAUCUCACAUUUAAAAAAAAAAACUGGAUCUCGUUCAAGUUUAUCCGGGUCGCCUGAGUCAUGAGUUGACCUGCCGGGUCACCCGGAUUUAGCUGUACUGUUGCCCCAACCAGUCUUUUACUAAACCAAGUAGCAGGGCCAAGUCCUCUUCCUUCGACAUCGAAGCUUCUAUAUGCUUCAAUGCUGUUGAAUUUGCCGACGGCUGUUUUUAAUGAUUCAAUAAUUUAUUAUGAAGAUUAAAUUGCUUGUCACUUAAUGUAAACGGUCUAAAUACAAAUUGCUUAUCGGGAUUCAAACAAUUUUAUCUUAAAAUAUUGCACUAUAAAUCAUGACCUAUAAAUAUUUAAAUUUUUUAAGAUUAAUUUUUUAUUUAUUUAUAAUUAAUUUUAAAUUUAUUAUUUUUUAUAUUAAAAUAAUUAAUUAAUUUGACAAAUUUGUUUAUUAAAUGAUUGUAUCGUUCUUCUGCAUAGAGUCAAAGAUGGCCACCUAGGAAGAACGUCGUUGAAAUGGAUUUUUCACCCUUCAAAUUAAAUUAAAUUAUAAAUAAAUAAAUAAAUCUCAGACACGUGCUUGACUAAGUUUAUUCAUUGGAAUGGUGCGUUCGCAGAUUUGCCCUUGCACUGAAAUAUUGAGGUCAAUUUAGUCUUUUCACGGGAUCCAAAUUAAUCUCAGACACGUACACUUACAAGCAAAAACAAUUAACUUGUAUUCAGGUGCUUUUUUAUCUUUUUAAACUGAUUUUUUUUAUUAUAAUAAAGUUAAUUUACAAGCAAUUUGAUUAUUUAAUAAAUCUAUUUAUAUUAAAAAAAACCUGGCACGUGGGCUUUUCUUAUGCUAUUUGUGUGGCUGGUACCAUGAUGUUUGGAAGGCAAAUAGUGGUUUUCAAGGCGGUGUUGAAAUCGUCUUGACAGUUCUUUCAUGUUUAGGUUACGCUUGUGGUCAACCAAUCUAAGAUUUAGUGCUAAUAACUUUCUUUUUUUCCUUCUUGAUUUCUGCACUUGACCCUCUGAAAUUUAAAACCAGCCUUUCAAAUUAUUUUUUCUUGGAAUUUGAUCUCUUUUCUUGUAAUUAUUAUUUGUUUUAUUUGAAAUAAUUUAUAGAAUUAAAAUUUUUUUCAACUUCAUCAUCCUUCAACUUUUUCAUCUAUUAAAUUUGGUCCUUAUUUAUUCAUUUUAGAUGGUUUUUAGAAUUAAUUUUUUUUCAUGAUUUUAUUCUCCAAUUUUUUUCUAUCAAAUUUUAUCCUCAUUUUCUCCUUUAUUUAAGCUCGGAUCUCUUUAGCUUCAUCAUUCGGUAUUUAUUUAAUAAGAGAUUAGACUCCGUUAUUUUUUUAUUUUAUUUCUAUAGAAACUUUCAUUGGUUAUGAAAAUAACGUGGGUUAUAUUGAGUCUUUUUAUUUGUUGCUCUUUGUUAAAUUUAGCUUUUUUUGAGAAAUUUAAUUUUUUAUUAAAUUAAAUUAAUUAAUUAAAUAUAAGCAUGAAAUGCUCAUUUCAUGAUAUUUUACUUGGUUUUAUUUCUGGUGAUAAGACGGUGUUCACAGACUUUUCCUUCAUUUGCUAUUGGGUCUUAUAUUGGUAACUCAUUUUUUAUAGUUAACUAUUGCAAAAAAAAAUUAUUUUAUUUACCGUUGAUAUCUUUUUUAAUCAUAUUAUUAAAUUAAUCAAGCUUAUUGAAUCAAGUCAAAUUAAUUACCUAAAUCUCAAAUUUGUUUUGCUUCUUUAAAAAUGUUGGCGCCCUUGAAUAUUUUUUUUUGUCAAUUUUUUUUUUAUAUAUCUAUUAUCAUUGUAUUUUUUUUACUCGUAUUAUUUAAAUUAAUCUAACUUAUUAAUUCCCAUAAAAAAUGACUGGAGUCUCAUUAACUUUUUAAAACAUUUUAGAAACAAUUGUGCCAUCUUAGCAUCUUUUUUACCGUUAAAAAAAAAAACUUCAGCCUAUGCAAGCCAUCCAUCUAGUUUCAAUCUAGUACCCCAUUUCCAUUGCUCAUAAGAAUCAGGCUUGAACAUCCUUUUAUUUUGGUUUAGAUAAAUUAAAGAAAUGCCAUUGCAGUGCUCUUUGUUACUUCAAUCUUCUUUUUACCCUAAACUAAGUAGAGUUCCUUCAACACUUUAAAUCUGUGAACAAACUAGGGAAUUCUGGAAAACCAGGUCUGAAUCUGGACACUUGCGCACCGCAUGUCCGAGCAACAGAGGUUUAAAACUAUUGAUUCAAUCUUCAAUAUUCAGUAAAAUGAUAAUUAUUUUGGAAGUCCAAUUAGUAAUAGAAUUUAUUUCUUGCCAUAGAAGAUUUUAGAAUUUUAUUUUCAUUGACCUUGUAUCCACUUUGAAAAGUAGUUUUCCCUAUUUUUUUCCAAGAAAAAGCUUUGAAGAAGGUUCGAAUGCGCCCAAGUCAUAGCAAUGUGACGAGAAUUGUUUAUAAUUCAGUCUUUAGACUGAGGAUUUGAAACUGUAACAACAAUUAAGGAGAAACUCGAAGCGAAAAAAGUUUGUUUUCUUUUACCAAUUAAUGUGUAACUGAAGAAGCAAAAGCAAUCUUCUGCACGUUCUUAUGAUGAUUGCAUCGUUCAAAUCAUUGCACUUUCUACUCGGCCUGUUUGUUUCCUUGAAGCUCUUGGCCUUAGCUCAAGAGGAAAACCACUUCAUCUAUCAUGGCUUCACUGGCGCCAACCUGCUCCUCAGCGAGAAUGCAAAAAUCGAUCCAAAUGGUCUCUUAGAGCUGACAAACACUUCAAAACGGCAAAUUGGCCGUGCUUUCUUCCCAUUCCCUUUUCAGUUCAACACAUCUUUAUUCAACAAUUCUCGGUCUCUCUCGUUCUCUACCCAGUUUGCGUUUGCCAUGGUCCCUGAGCUGCCUACACUUGGUGGCCAUGGCAUGGCCUUCACAAUCUCUCCAUCUGUGGACUUCACAGGGACUAUGGCAACUCAAUACUUUGGAAUCCUCAAUUCUACAAGCAAUGGCCUGUCUUCAAACCAUCUAUUGGCAGUUGAGCUGGAUGCAGUUCCAAGCCCGGAUCUUAAAGACAUCAAUGACAACCACGUUGGAAUUGAUGUAGACAGCUUGAUAUCCAUUGAAUCUGCUCCUGUGACCUACUUUUCAGAUAAGGAAAAGGAGAAUAAGAGCUUGACUCUCACAAGUGGUCACGUGAUGCACGUGUGGAUAGAUUAUGAUGAAGUAGAGAAGCUACUCAAUGUUACCGUUGCUCCUGUCACAAGAACAAAACCAACCUUGCCUCUCUUGUCAACAUCUCUCGAUCUUUCUUCUGUUAUGUUGGAUUCUAUGUACGUUGGUUUUUCUGCAUCUACUGGAGCAGUGGCUAGCAGCCACUAUAUUCUGGGGUGGAGCUUCAACAGAGGCGGACAAGCUCAAAGUCUUGACGCCUCAAAGAAAAUCCAGAAAGAAACCAUAUUUAAGAAUUCUGGUCCCAACAAUAACAGCAAUCAUUUUGCUGGUAGCAUUCUCUGGUGCUGCUUAUAUCAUAAGGAGGAAGAAAUAUGAAGAACUGCGCGAAGAUUGGGAACAGGAGUAUGGUCCUCAAAGAUUCUCCUACAAGGAUUUAUACAAAGCAACUACAGGUUUCACGGACAGGAAGUUGCUGGGAAGUGGAGGUUUUGGAAAGGUUUACAGAGGAGUAUUGCCUUCUUCCAAUAUGCAAGUCGCGAUCAAGAAAGUAUCCCAUGAUUCCAAACAAGGAACUAAGCAGUUUGUUGCUGAGAUUGCUAGCAUGGGAAGGCUGAGGCACAGGAACUUGGUCCAGCUCCUAGGCUAUUGCCGGAGAAAGGGAGAGCUCCUCUUGGUCUAUGAUUACAUGCCCAAUGGAAGCCUUGAUAAACUCCUAUUUCGCAAUGACACACCCAGCCUUAAUUGGGUUCAGCGAUAUCAGGUCCUCAGAGGAGUUGCGUCCGCCCUUCUUUACCUCCAUGAAGAGUGGGAACAGGUUGUUCUGCAUAGAGAUGUGAAAGCUAGCAAUAUACUGUUAGAUGAUGAUUUCAAUGGUCGACUAGGAGAUUUUGGGCUUGCUAAAUUCUAUGAUCGUGGGGCUAAUCCUCAAACAACCUGUGUGGUUGGAACAGUUGGAUAUAUCGCGCCAGAGGUUACUAGAACAGGAAGGGCCACUACCAGCAGUGAUGUUUUUGCUUUUGGCACUUUUAUGCUUGAAAUGGCUUGUGGAAGGAAACCUUUACAGCCAGAACAAUCAGCAGAAAAGAUGAUUUUGGUUGACUGGGUUCUUGAUUCCUGGAAAAUAGGAGACAUUCUUCGAACAGGUGAUCCAAGAUUGGAAGGUAAUUACGAGGUGGAGGAAAUGGAAUUGGUUUUAAGGCUAGGUCUGCUUUGUUCUUUCUCUACACCACAAGCUAGGCCAAGCAUGAGGCAAAUUGCGCAAUAUCUGGAUGGGAAUGCUAGCCUGCCAGAGAUGCCGCUUGAUGUUGCUAGCAUAGGUUUGAUGCCAGUUAGUCAUGAAGAGCCUGGGGGUUUCAACUUGUCUUUCCAUAGAUCUAAUGAUUACUCUGCUCAUUCCUUCUCUAGUACCGACUCAAUCCUCAGCUGUGGUCGUUGAAUCAUGGCUAGAUGAGGUAAAAAUUCUUUAACCUCAAGACUAACAGCUGGCAUGUGGCAAGCCUGGUAUUAGUGGUGAAGAGGAAGGUAGAUUGGAAUACUUAGAAGGUUUGUGCAUGCCGUAGUAAUCCUCAAAGCACCACAAAGACUGCUCCAUGAGGGGUUAAUUAAUUAGCAUAGACCCAAAGUUUGGGUUUUGAGUCACGAUGUAAUUCUUUUUGGCUGUGUCAGGAUACAAAGUUCCUGGGUCGUCAUCAAGACCCAAAGCUAAUAAAUUUUAUAUUAGAAUUUAAGAUUUUGAAUCUUAGGUUUUUAAAUAUAAUUUUUUAUAUUAUAAAUAUUAUUAUUUUUAUUAUAAUUAAAAGUAUUAAUAUUAAAAAUAGUAUUAUUUGUGUUAUAAAUAUUAUUAUUAUUAAAAUAAUUAAUAAAUUUGAAAAACAUUAUUAUCAAUAUUGAAAAACAACCAUGGAUUUGAUUUAAAGUGUAAAAUUAAUAAUAAUAAUAACAACAAUUAUUAUUAUUAUUAUUAUUAUUAUUAUUAUUAUUAUCAUUAAUAAAUUUUAAAAAACUAUUAUUACUAGAAGAAAAACCAUAAUUGUUUUUGAAAGAUUAAAAAAAAUUAAAAUUUUGGGAAACAAGUUAAAUAUUAUUAUUAAUAUUAUAAAUAUUAUUGUUGUGUUUUGCAUUGCAACCGAACUCAACGCUCUUGGAUUCGAUGUUAUAGUCACACUCAAUGUUUUUAGAUCUUAGAUUUUUAUGAUAUUUUUUUAUUAAAAUAAUAGGUGAGCCCGCGGCAUAGCGUUGGCCACCUAACUAGUAAUUACUAAUUCUUAAGUGUUCUAGCUUAAGUAAAAAUUAAUGGGUUAAAAUUGAAAUUGGAUUUGGAUUUCCUUAAUUUUACCCGAGUUACUGGAUUGGAUUAUGUAUAAAAAAUUAAAAAGUUACCCUAAAUUUUAUAAGUUUAUAAUACUUCAAAUUAAUAAAAAAAUUAAAGUAUUAUAAGUUUGUCAUUAUAUUUUAUUUAACUAAAAUCCGGAUACAUCAAAUUAACAAAAAUGCUACUAUACGCACAUCAUCAAGAACAAUCAUCAUUGGGGCUCUAAUUCUCCAUUCAAAAUGCAAAUUCCGUUUUGGGACCAAAUCAUUGCCCAUUCUUCCAUCAUCCCCUCCAUGACCCCUUGUUUAUCUGUUGGCCAUAAGAUCCAUGUUAUUAUCUCUUUCGCGACGCAUUCUCAAGAACCGAAACCUCAAAUCGAACCACAAGUUGCAAAGCCGAAGAGGAAAAGAAAAGCAAAAGCAGGGAGUCCUUAAGUUUCAAACAAAAGAAGAGAUUUUGAGUCGUGGGGCUUUUCACUUCAUGAUCCAAGGUUUUACCUUUAUUUUUGUUUCAGGUCAUUUGGGUUGUCAUUGUCGAAACCACAAGUAGCAGGGCCAAGUCCUCUUCCUUCGACAUCAAAGCUCCUAGAUGCUUCAAUGCUGUUGAAUUUGCCAACGGCUGGUUUAGAUGGCAGUGAGAUAGGGUUUUGCACUGCUACUACAUUCUUCUAUUAAGGGAAAGGCAUUUGUGGCUCACCUACGUUUGUCAUGUCCGUAACAGAGGCAUAAGAUGAGGUGCGGUGCCUGCACAAUCUGGUCCCAACAACAACAGCAAUCAUUUUGCUGGUAGCAAUCUCUGGUGCUGCUUAUAUAAUGAGGAAGAAAUAUGAAGAACUGCGCGAAGAUUGGGAAUGUCACGACCCGAUUCCCGGAUCCAUGACCGCCACAUAGAUAAGGUUCCUCUCCAAGGUUCCAUACCUAUGCGAACCCAAACUUACAUACAAUCUUAUCCUUUAAACAAUUUAAUCAGAGUUCAACCCAGCAUUAACAACAAACUAAUUUUAUAAUAUAAUUUAAUUGUCUUAAUACAAGAGUUAAUAUAAUUUUAUAGUUUUGGAGCACUAACUAGACAUAAAGGAAAAUGUACAAAUUACAACCAAAAGAGCAGGUUUUGAAGAUCCAACAAAAGUGACCUAUUAUCAAGCUAUAAGCCUGAAAAGGUAAAUAAUGAGAGGUUGAGUUCAACAACUCAGUGAGUAGAUAACGUUCAAUAUACACACACGAGGUAAUACAACAAUGAGAAAUAUAUAUACAAGUAUGACUUUAGGUUCUUAUAUAAAUGUUUUUCAAAAUGGCCAUAAUAAGAAGAUCAUAUGGUAAAACUCGUCAGAAAAUCAAAAUGCAAUGAGCAUGAGGCUCCGUACUGUAGGAUGAUCAGUCCACACAGGUUGGUGACUCCCCCGACCAACUAGGGUUCAGAUACGAUGUGCACAAAGACUAACACUACCAUGUUAGCAUGGGUAUUCUGACUGACAUACCAUAAAUUCAUAAUCAUAAUCAAACAGACAUAUUCAUAUCUCAAGGCUCAGCUCAUGACAUCAAUCAAAUGAGGAGCUAUCAAUUCAGAAGUCAAUUCAAAAUAUAUACUGGUUUAUAUCCAGAAUUCAGAUUCAACAAUUGAUCAUAUAUAUAUAUAUAUAUUAUCAAGAAGCAUGAUCCAAUUCAUAAUAACAAAUCAAAUAUUUAUAAUAUUUCUCAUGUAUAUGAAAAAUUAUCCACUCACCUGACUCGAAAGCAAAUAGCACUCAAAAGCCGAUACCGAAGGUAAUCCCACUAAUGUCCCGCUGGUAGAAUAUCAUGAUUAUCUGAUUACAAAGGAGACAUAUUCAAGAAUGACUCAAAAGAAUAUAUAUAACCUAUUUAAUACACUUAUCUAAGGGUGUAUUCCAUAACUCUAUAUGUUUUUAGACUAAACUAGUUAUUUUCCCAGAAACCCAAAAAUUAACGGUUUUCCUGAAAUAUAAUCCAUAAUAAAACAAAUAAUAAAAUUGAUAAUAAUUCACUAUAUAACCCUCAAUUAUUCAUCAAACCAAUCUGCAAAAGCUAAUAUUACAGCUAUGGACCAAUUUGUAAUUUAUCAUAUUUCUAAGGGUCAAAUUGUAACUUUUGUCAAAUUGAAGGACCAAACUAAAAAUAUCAUAAAUUUAUCACUAUACUGAAAUUCUGACCAUAAUUAAUCCUCAAUUCUGUCCAGAAUAUCUCAUUAUGCUCCAGGGACCAUUCUGGAAUUUUACCAAAUUGUUAGGGUCAAAUUGUAAUUUUUGUCAAAUUGAAGGACCAAAUUGAAAGUGUUAAAAUUUCAUAACUAUACAGGAAUUCUGCCCAUGAUUUAUCUUUUGUUCUGUUCAGAAUCUCGAAAUAUGCUCAAGGGACCAAUCUGUAAUUUUCCCAAGUUUGGGGAAAAACUGUAAUUUUCACAAAUUGAGGGACCAAACAAAAUUUUGUCAUCUUCAACCUCAAACCCAGAAUUUUCACAGAUUACCUACUGUUCUUUCCAGAUUUCUAACUCAAAAUUCACCAUUUACACAAAUCAUCAUCUUUACCUACAAUCUCUCAAAAUCAACUAAACAAUCCAUUACCCACAACAAUCAACCCAUAACAUUCAAAUUAAUUCAUCAAUUAAACCCAAAACAAAAUCUUCAAAACCCUAACAUUCAUCAAAACCGAAAUUUAAAGCUUAUAUAACACAUAUUUAUACAUAAUCUUACCUUUAAACUUAUUUCCUCCAACUCAUUUCUAAUUUUCUUCUAAUUUUCUUCUUUUCUCUUUUUCUUCUUCUUUCUCCCUUCUCUCCUGCCGUCCCUCACACUGAAAUUUCAGAUCCCUCUUUCCCUUUUUUUUUUUUACUUUCUAUUUAUAUUUAUCAUCUCUUUAUUCAAUUACUACUAUACCCUUCAUUAAUUUAUUCCUACAUCUAAGCCUUCAAGGCUUUGUAGUCUUUUCCUAUCUCUUUUAAUUCAAAACAUUACAGGGAACAGGAAUAUGGUCCUCAAAGAUUCUCCUACAAGGAUUUAUACAAAGCAACUACAGGUUUCACAGACAGGAAGUUGCUGGGAAGUGGAGGCUUUGGAAAGGUUUACAGAGGAGUAUUGCCUUCUUCCAAUAUGCAAAUCGCGACCAAGAAAGUAUCCCAUGAUUCCAGGCAAGGAAGUAAGGAAUUCGUUGCUGAGAUUGUUAGCAUGGGAAGGCUGAGGCACAGGAACUUGGUCCAGCUCUUCGGCUAUUGCCAGCGAAAGGGAGAGCUCCUCUUGGUCUAUGAUUAUAUGCCCAAUGGAAGCCUAGAUAAACUCCUAUUUCGCAAUGAGACACCCAGCCUUAAUUGGGCUCGGCGAUAUCAAAUCAUCAGGGGAGUUGCGUCUGCCCUUCUUUAAAGGGCACGUUUGGGAACGCGGCUGCGGCUGCGUUCCUAAAAUUUGAAAUUUUUUUUUUUUUUUUACUAAAAUUUAAUAUGGUUUGGAUCGUUUUGAUGUGCUGAUGUCAAAAAUGAUUUUUAAAAAAUUAAAAAACAUCAUUGGCAUGCAUUUUGGCACAAAAAGUUAUUUGAAAAGCACCCGCAAUCACACUGUAAAAAAUGCUCUUUACCUCCAUGAAGAGUGGGAACAAGUUGUUCUGCAUAGAGAUGUAAAAGCUAGCAAUGCUUCAUGGAGGAUUGAUUACGUAAAUAUGUACAUUAAGACUUGUUCGAUGUGAAAUAUAGAGGAAGGUGCCACAGAAUUUUGAAGAUUGUAGCGUUUCUGCAAUUUUUUUCCAGCCACUUUGUCUUGUGAGCUCUUACCAUAGAACAGUCACCCUCCCUGCAGACCGUAAGCCCAGAGGUAAGGAGGGCUUCUAUACAAAUAUUUCUUAACUAGCAGAAUUAAUAGAUUUAUGGAAACAUAUAACAAAUUCUAUUUAAACUUAGCAUGCAUUGCCAAUCGAUCCUGGUUGAUUAUUGUGAUAUUUGUUGAUUAAAGUCAAUCGAUGAUGGUUGAUUUAUGGUUUAUCAAGUUAGUUUUGGAUUGAUGUCUUAAACAUCAAAUAAAUAAUAAAUUAUAUAAACAAAAUAGAUGUAUUUACUUGCUAAAGAAUUAUAUACAAACAAAGAAAGCAGGUUAUGUUGCUGUAAAUUAAUGAUUCAAUUAUUUAUUAUAAAUGUUAAAUUUCUUGUUUUAAUGUAAACAGUCUCAAUAUAUAUAAACUGCUUUUCAGGAUUCAAAUAACAUUACUUUAAAAUAUUGCACUAUAAAUCAAGGCCUAAAUGUUUUUAAAAAAUAAUAAUUAAAUGACCUCACUAAUCAAGCGUAUUAAUUCAUGUAUUGGUAAAAAAUAUUUUAUAAUUAACUCAAGUUCUAGUCAAGCACGUCAUUUAAGCUCAAAAUCUACAUUGUCUAGAGUCUCUCUCGUCUAAAAACUUUUGUGUGUUAUAAGCUAAUUUAAAUAUUCAACUUCUUACUAUAUAAGUUACAAGAUCUUAUAAUCUUUCAAUUUAGAAUUAAUGUUAUUUAAAUUUUUUAAUAUUAAUUUCUUAUUUAUUCAUAAUUUAUUUUAAACAUAUUAAUUUUUAUGUUAAAAUAAUUAAUUAAUUUGGGGAAUAUUUUUUAAAAAUGGUUGGUUAAUUCAAAUGAUCCCCAUAAAUCUUGUCAUUGUUUCUUAAAAUUGAUAAAAUUAUAGAACUCAAAUCCUACUUAAUCAAAAAAGAAAAAAAAAAAAAAGGACGAGAGCUAAAUGGCCAGAGGCAUAAGUGGAGCGGAUUUAAGGAUAAGCGUAUGAUAAGAAUAAUUCGUGUGCUAUGUAUGCAUCUUACCACUAGGAGACGGGACGAGAGCCACGCCAACACAUUAGGUGUUACUUGCUCCACCUCAAGCUUCUUUCUUAGCCAUUAAGUGUCGGUUACGAUUUUUAUAAGUGUCGUAAUCGUUGUUUUUAAAGUAUUUUUAAUUUAAAAAUAUAUUAAAAUAAUAUUUUUUUAUUUUUUAAAAAUUAUUUUUUAUAUCAACAUAUAAUAAUAAUCUAAAAAUAAAAAAAAAUAUUAAUUAUAAAUAAAGCCCUGUGGUUACUCAUAUGAUGGCCACUGGAGGCUUACAUGGUCGUUAACUUCAGGACCCGUGAGAUUAGUCAAGGUGCGCGCAAGCUGGCCCGGACACCUACGUUAAACUAAAAAAAAAAACCCAAAGUAGACUAAAAAUUUAGAGUUAGCAUUGAGACUCAAUCAGAGAGCCCACUUCGACCAUCCUUCAAAGAUUAGAGUUGUUGAUAAAUUGACUGGAUAUUUGGAGUUUGGUUGUGAUUGUUUUUUGAAAUAUUUUUUAUUUAAAAAUAUAUUAAAAUAAUAUUUUUUAUUUUUUAAAAAAUAUUUUUAACAUCAAAAUGAUCUAAAAACACUAAAAAAUAUUAAUUUAAAGUAAAAAAAAUAAAAUAAAAAUUAAUUUUUUUUAAAACUAUUUUUAAAAUACAAGAAUAAAUAAUACAUUUGCAUUAAAGACAGAAUUGUCAUUUUCAAUUAGCUAUCAAUAUUUAACAAGGAGCAGUGCUUUUUCUAAGAUGGGAUCGUUCUUUUGUAUAAAGUCAAAGAUGGCCACCUAGAAAUAACGUCUUUGAAAUGGAAUUUUCGUGUUAUGGUCACCCUUUAAAUUAAAUUAAAUUAAAAAUAAAUAAAUAAAUGCCGACACAUACUUGACCAAGUUUAUUCAUUGGAAUGGUGCAUUUGCAGAUUUGCCCUUAUGCACUGAAAUAUUGAGGUUUAAUUUAGUCUGGGAUCCAUUUAUCUUUAUCAAAUUCAUCAAGAGCAAAAAGAUCUUCACAUGUUAUUUUUUUCACUCUAAAAUGACAAAAAAGCCUUUAAGAGAAAGGAAUUAUUAAACUAGUUUUCAAGGGCUUAUUUGUCCUUACACUUUCUUAACCGUAGUAAAAAACUGAUGUACACUUGCAAGCAAAAAUAAUUAACCUGCAUUGGCUUUUUCAUCUUUUCAAACUAGUAUUUUUUAUUAUAAUGAAGUUGAUUUAAAUGUAAUUUUAUCAUUUAAUAAAUAUAAAUAUUAAAAAAACAAAUGGACACAUGAGCUUUUUCUAGUGUUAUUUGUGUGGCCUGAAAGAUGAUGUUUGGGGCAAAUAGUGGCUUUCAAGAUAGUGUUGGAAUCGUCUUUACAGACCCUCUAUGUGUAGGCUAUAUUUAUGGCCAACUAAUCUAAGAUUUGGCAUUAAUGAUUUUUUUUUCUUCUCCUCAAUUUCCACACCUGACCUUCUAGAUUUUAAAAUCAGCCUUUCAAUUUGUUUUUUCUUUGAGUUUGGUCUCUUUUCUUUUUAUUACUAUUUGUUUUAUUUGAAAUAAUUUAUAAAAUUGGAAUUCUUUUCAACUUGAUCCUCCCUCAAUUUUUUCAUCUAUUAAAUUUGAUCAUCAUUCUUUUGAUUGAUAUUUAUUUGUUUUAAAUGGUUUUUUAAAUUGAACUUUCUUUUUUUACGAUUUUAUCCUCCUUCAAUAUUUUUCCUAUCAAAUUUUAUCCUCAUUUUCUCAUUCUUUUUUUUUAAGCUCGUGUUUCUUUAGUUUCAUCAUUCGAUAUUUAUUUAAUUAGAGAUUGGGCUCCGUUAUUUUUUUAUUUUAUUUUAGUAAAAACUUUCAUUGGUUUUAAAAAUGACAUGGGUUGUCUUGAGUUUUUUUAUUUGUCACUCUUUGUUAAAUUUAGCCUUUUUUUGGGGAAAUUUUAUUUUUUCUUAAAUUAAAUUAAAUUAUUUGAUUGAAUAUAAGCAUGAGUUACUCACUUCAUGAUAUUUUAUUUGGUUUUCUUUCUAGUGGUAAGGCGGUGUCCACGGUGAAAUGAUGAUGAAUCCCCAACAAGCUUUUCCUUCAUUUGCUCUCGGGUAUUAUAUUGGCAACUAUUUUUUUAUAGUUAACUAUUGCCAAAAAAAUUUGUUUUAUUUCCCAUCAAUAUUAUUAAAUUAAUCGAACUUAUUAAAUCCAAAUUUGUUUUGCUUUUUUAAAAACAUUGGCGCCCUCGAACAUUCUUUUUUUUUUUUGUCAAUUUGUUUUUCAAUUUAGCUAUUAUUGUUGCAUUUUUUAUUUGUAUUAUUUAAAUUAGCUUAGCUUAUUAAUUCCAGAAAAAAAAUGACUCAAGUCUUAUAUUUUUUUUUUACUUUUUAGAAACAAUUGUGUCGUCUUAGCAUCUUUUUUAACAUUAAAAAAAAAAUUCAGCCAGCACAAGCCACCCAUCUAGUUUGCAAUCUACGACCCCAUUUCCAUUUGCUCAUAAGAAUCAGGCUUGAACAUCCUUUUAAGUUUAGAUAAAUUAAAGAAAUGCCACCCAGUGCUCUUUGUCACUUCAAUCUUCUUUUUACCCUAAAUUAAGUACAGUUCCUUCAACACUUCAAAUCUGUGAACAAACAGAGAUUUAAAACUAUUGAUUCAAUCUUCAAUAUUCAGUAAAAUGAUAAUUAUUUUGGAAGUCCAAUUAGUAAUAGAAUUUAUUUUCUUGCCAUAGAAGAUUUUAGAAUUUUAUUUUCUUUGACCUUGUAUCCACUUUGAAAAGUAGUUUUCCCUAUUUUUUUCUAAGAAAAAGCUUUGGAGGGUUCGAGGGGCCCAAGUCAUAGCAAUGUGACGAGACUUGUUUAUAAUUCAGUCUUUAGACUGAGGAUUUGAAACUGUAACUGAAGAAGCAAAUAAGGAGAAACUCGAAGCGAAAAAAGUUUGUUUUCUUUUACCAAUGUGUAACUGAAGAAGCAAAAACAAUCUUCUGCACGUUCUUAUGAUGAUUGCAUCGUUCAAAUCAUUGCACUUUCUACUCGGCCUGUUUGUUUCCUUGAAGCUCUUGGCCUUAGCUCAAGAGGAAAACCACUUCAUCUAUCAUGGCUUCACUGGCGCCAACCUGCUCCUCAGCGAGAUUGCAAAAAUCCAUCCAAAUGGUCUCUUAGAGCUGACAAACACUUCAACACAGCAAAUUGGCCGUGCUUUCUUCCCAUUCCCUUUUCAGUUCAACACAUCUUUAUUCAACAAUUCUCGGUCUCUCUCCUUCUCUACCCAGUUUGCGUUUUCCAUGGUCCCGGAGCUGCCUACCCUUGGUGGCCAUGGCAUGGCCUUCACGAUCUCUCCAUCUGUGAACUUCACAGGGGCUUGGGCAACUCAGUACUUGGGAAUCCUCAAUUCUACAAGCAAUGGCCUGUCUUCAAACCAUCUAUUGGCAGUUGAGCUGGAUGCAAUUCGAAGCCUGGAUUUUAAAGACAUCAAUGACAACCACGUUGGAAUUGAUGUAAACGACUUGACAUCCAUUGAAUCUGCUCCGGUGACCUACUUUUCAGGUGAGGAAAACGAGAAUAAGAGCUUGGCUCUCAUAAGUGGUCUUGUGAUGCACGUGUGGAUAGAUUACGAUGAAGUAGAGAAGCUACUCAAUGUUACGGUUGCUCCUAUCACAAGAACAAAACCAACCUUGCCUCUCUUGUCAACACCGCUCGAUCUUUCUUCUGUUAUGUUGGAUUCUAUGUACGUUGGUUUUUCUUCAUCUACUGGAGCAGUGGCUAGCAGCCACUAUAUUCUGGGGUGGAGCUUCAACAGAGGCGGACAAGCUCAAAGUCUUGAUGUGUCAAAGUUGCCUUCACUUCCCCAUCAAAGAAAAUCAAGGAAGAAAUCACAUUUAAGAAUUCUGGUCCCAGCAAUAACAGCAGUCAUUUUGCUGGUAGCAAUCUCUGGUGCUGCUUAUAUAAUAAGGAGUAAGAAAUAUGAAGAACUGCGCGAAGAUUGGGAACAGGAGUAUGGUCCUCAAAGAUUCUCCUACAAGGAUUUAUACAAAGCAACUACAGGUUUCACGGACAGGAAGUUGGUGGGAAGUGGAGGUUUUGGAAAGGUUUACAGAGGAGUAUUGCCUUCUUCCAAAAUGCAAGUCGCGAUCAAGAAAGUAUCCCAUGAUUCCAUACAAGGAACUAAGCAGUUUGUUGCUGAGAUUGUUAGCAUGGGAAGGCUGAGGCACAGGAACUUGGUCCAGCUCCUAGGCUAUUGCCGGAGAAAGGGAGAGCUCCUCUUGGUCUAUGAUUACAUGCCCAAUGGAAGCCUUGAUAAACUCCUAUUUCGCAAUGACACACCCAGCCUUAAUUGGGUUCAGCGAUAUCAGGUCCUCAGAGGAGUUGCGUCUGCCCUUAUUUACCUCCAUGAAGAGUGGGAACAGGUUGUUCUGCAUAGAGAUGUGAAAGCUAGCAAUAUACUGUUAGAUGAUGAUUUCAAUGGUCGACUAGGAGAUUUUGGGCUUGCUAAAUUCUAUGAUCGUGGGGCUAAUCCUCAAACAACCUGUGUGGUUGGAACAGUUGGAUAUAUCGCGCCAGAGGUUACUAGAACAGGAAGGGCCACUACCAGCAGUGAUGUUUUUGCUUUUGGCACUUUUAUGCUUGAAAUGGCUUGUGGAAGGAAACCUGUAGAGCCAGAACAAUCAGCAGAAAAGAUGAUUUUGGUUGACUGGGUUCUUGAUUCCUGGAAAAUAGGAGACAUUCUUCGAACAGGUGAUCCAAGAUUGGAAGGUAAUUACGUGGUGGAGGAAAUGGAAUUGGUUUUAAGGCUAGGUCUGCUUUGUUCUUUCUCUACACCACAAGCUAGGCCAAGCAUGAGGCAAAUUUCGCAAUAUCUGGAUGGGAAUGCUAGCCUGCCAGAGAUGCCUCUUGAUGGUGCUAGCAUAGGUUUGAUGCCAGUUAGUCAUGAAGAGCCUGGGGAUUUCACCUUGUCUUUCCAUAGAUCUAAUGAUUACUCUGCUCAUUCCUUCUCUAGUACCGACUCAAUCCUCAGCUGUGGUCGUUGAAUCAUGGCUUAACGAGGUAAAAAUUCUUUAACCUAAAGACUAACAGCUGGCAUGUGGCAAGCCUGGUAUUAGUGGUGAAGAGGAAGGUAGAUUGGAAUACUUAGAGGGUUACCUUGUUUGUGCAUACCAUAGUAAUCCUCAAAACACAACAAAGACUGCUCCAUGAGGGGUUAAUUAAUUAGCAUACAAACAUAGGUAUAAUUUAUGAUUUAAGCAAAACACAUGGUUGAAAUAGUACAAUGUUUGAUGAA
rnacentral:lncRNA from 1 species